rnacentral:misc_RNA from 1 species
UACGAGGGGUCCUAGCGUUGUUCGGAAUCAUUGGGCGUAAAGCGGGUGUAGGCGGCCGAUCAAGUCAGGUGUGAAAGCCCUGGGCUUAACCUAGGAAGUGCAUCUGAUACUGGUUGGCUUGAGUACGGGAGAGGGUAGUGGAAUUCCUGGUGUAGUGGUGAAAUACGUAGAUAUCAGGAGGAACAUCGGUGGCGAAGGCGGCUACCUGGCCCAGUACUGACGCUCAGACCCGAAAGCGUGGGGAGCAAACAGG